CACGUAGGGUGCGAGCGUUGUCCGGAAUUAUUGGGCGUAAAGAGCUCGUAGGCGGUGUGUCGCGUCGGCCGUGAAAACCUGCAGCUUAACUGUGGGCGUGCGGUCGAUACGGGCAUCACUGGAGUUCGGCAGGGGAGACUGGAAUUCCUGGUGUAGCGGUGAAAUGCGUAGAUAUCGGGAAGAACACCCGUGGCGAAGGCGGUUCUCUGGGACGGUACUGACGCUGAGACGCGAAAGCGUGGGGAGCGAACAGG
rnacentral:rRNA from 1 species